rnacentral:rRNA from 1 species
GAUGAACGCUGGCGGCGUGCCUAAUACAUGCAAGUCGAGCGAACAGACGAGGAGCUUGCUCCUCUGACGUUAGCGGCGGACGGGUGAGUAACACGUGGAUAACCUACCUAUAAGACUGGGAUAACUUCGGGAAACCGGAGCUAAUACCGGAUAAUAUAUUGAACCGCAUGGUUCAAUAGUGAAUGACGGUUUCGCUGUCACUUAUAGAUGGAUCCGCGCCGCAUUAGCUAGUUGGUAAGGUAACGGCUUACCAAGGCAACGAUGCGUAGCCGACCUGAGAGGGUGAUCGGCCACACUGGAACUGAGACACGGUCCAGACUCCUACGGGAGGCAGCAGUAGGGAAUCUUCCACAAUGGGCGAAAGCUUGACGGAGCAAUGCCGCGUGAGUGAUGAAGGUCUUCGGAUCGUAAAACUCUGUUAUUAGGGAAGAACAGAUGGGUAAGUAACUAUGCACGUCUUGACGGUACCUAAUCAGAAAGCCACGGCUAACUACGUG